ensembl:lncRNA
CUGAGUUGGAAGGGACCCUGAGAGGUCAUCUAUUUUUAUUUUUCACUCAGAGGGUGGUGAUGCACUGGAACAGGUUGCCCAGCGAGGUUGUGGAUACUCCAUUCCUGGAGGCAUUCAAGGCAAGGCUGGAUGUGGCUCUGGACAGAGCUUGCUCUAGUGGUUGGCGGCCCUGUCCAUGGCAGGGGGGUUGAAAGUGGAUGAUCUUUGAGGUCCUUUUCAACCCCGGCCAUUCUGUGAUUCUGUGAUUCUAUGGUUCUAUGGUUCUAUGAUUCUAUGAUCUAGUCCAACCCCCCUGUGAUGAAUAGGGACACGUGCAGCUACAUCAGGUUGCUCAGAGCCCCAUCCAGCCUGACACUGAGUGUCUCCAGGGACGAGGCAUCCACAACCUCUCUGGGCAAUCUGCUCCAGUGCCUCACUACCCUUAUUACAAAAACUUCUUUCUUAUAUCCAGUCUAAAUCUCCCUUCUUUUAGUUUGAGACCAAUUCCCCUUUUUCUAUCACAGCAGACCCUGCUGAAGAGUCUGUUCCCUUCUUUCUAAUAGACGCCCUUUAGAUACUGAAAGGCUGCUCUCAGCUGUUGCAUGUAGUCUCCGUUCGCUCGUCCGGUGUUCGUCCUCUGUCCACAUGUAGGGCUUACUGCUGGGCGAAACCGACCCUUUACCAGGUCGGGGCCAGAUGCUCACCCAGACCCCAGGAGUAAGUGAGGCAAAUGGCGUUUAUUCACUACUAAACACAGCUUAUAUACAUUUUACCUAGAUAACCGUGCUGUCAUGUCCCACUCUGAUUAGUUCACACCAGAUAACAUUGUGCCUUAUUUGGCCGUUUCCGCAUUCUUUUAUCAUCCUUCUUCUUCUCCUGUUUUCUCUGCAACAAGGUCAGCACGAUAGCACUAUCUCUCUAUGUUUAGGGAGAGGCCUGUCCCGUACAUCCCGUGCCCCCGCAAGACGCCUACUACAACAUCUCCCCCUCCCUAAGCUAAAUACUACUUACACACACACCUAACCCGUACAUCGCGAAGCAGCGCAAAACGCCUAAUCCUAAAUAUAUUUCAGCACACUAUUCCUACUAUUUUCUACUACAGUUCUUAAGCAAUCAUCAGAGCAACAGGGAAUUCUUUUCCGUGCUCGGCCAAGCCUUGCCCCGUUACAGCACGAACGCAACAACCUAAACCCCUCUAUAAUUUUUCACGCAAUCUAUGAUACUCAAUGUGAUAGUCAAAAGUCUUGUCCAUCAUUCGUUGAAGGCAGUUCUGCAAGCAUCCUACAAAGCAUGGAAGACAGAUUAGAAUACACACAAAGAUUGCAAAUCCUACUGCGAGAGCUUUAAGCAAUUGCUUUAACCAUGAACCCGUUCCCCCAAACAGUCCGUCCAGCCAGCUUCCAAAGGGAUCACGCUCUUCUUUAAUUUUCUGCAUAUGUUCUUGUGUCCAUUGUAGUUGUUUGUGACACUCUGUAAUUGCCAUGGACACCAUAAAUAUCAGCAACAUCGGAAGUGUCAGCGUUGCAGGUGUAGUGCUCCUCUUGACGAGUGGUUCUUGAUCCCAUCGUCUGUCCCUCAGUUGUUCUGGAGUUGGCUUCGGUCUGCCAACGAAGAAUUUCUGUAGAAAACUCGCACCUAGACUCAGUUUUUGCAGAUAUUCUACUUAUAUCUGGUAUUACUUUUCGCGAUGGUACCCACAGAAUUUCCCAGAUUCAUGAUAUUUAACUGCCGCAUACCCGACCACGGAUACCCUUUAGCAAGCCCUUCCUGUGAUCAGGAGGCCCUGACUGGCCUCCCCCACAGGGGCAUUGUGCUCUAACAUGGCCAUACUGGCCGUAUCGGAAACACAGCCCUUGCUGCUGCAGCGAUCUUUGCUGUCGCAGGCCAACAGCUACGACAAUAGCUGUGACUAGCCUUUCAUUAGUUAAAUGAGCCACCUUGAGCUUAUCUAAGACAUACUGAAUAACUUCUCCCGAGGUAUUAAGCGUACUUCGGCCGGCUCGCAGCAAUGCCUUAACAUUGUCAUGCGAUUUCUGCUGCAAGCAGUCAAUGAUCACUGGCCCUUGGGCCGGUACCAGGAGAUCAGACCCCUCUGCAGCAGCUAAAAGCCUGUCUGUAAAGCUUUGAAAGGAUUCAUUCGGGCCCUGGGUAAUAUCUGUGCACGGAGUAGGUGGUUCGGCCUUAUGCACAAGUUUAUUAAACGCUUCCACCACUGCAUCUGUGGCUGCUAUUAGCUCCCCUGACCUUAGUCUCGCUAGCUGGCCCUGGGGCGAAGCCACUCCCACGGCCUUCCCUGAAAGCCGCUGUAUUCCGGUCCCAUGCAGGGAGCGGCGCGGGCCGACCCCUGUCGCCCCGGCACGGCCCCCCAACUCGGCCACCCAGUCCGUCUCCCAUAACGUAUAUUGAACCAGCCUGAGCACCGUACGCAUUAAGUUUGUGAUGUCACGGGGGAGGAGAGGCCCCAGUGCAGCCAAAGUUUGUAGUGCAUUUAAUGUCAGAGGCGAUUUCAGGCCUCUUUUAUCCAUAAAUUCCACCAGGCGCGUAACACCCCCGGGGUCAGGCGGCACCCAUUCGGGACCACGAUCACUCACGAUCACCCGGAAUGCCUCUGGAACUAUACCCUUCCCCAAAGCCUCCGAUCUAAUCCCAUUCCAGUCCGUCAUUUGAUCCCUCCCCCUGCACUCAAACCCAGUCCCUUCUUUCUCUUCUACACUAUCACUCGCACUACCGCCCCUGGGAGUGACCAGAGACAGUAGGCUAUGCCCCCUGUCCGCAUUGGACGGACCUUUUGUCUGGUCCCUCCCCAUGUGGGCACUAAGUUGAUCCUGCCCGUGUAGAUCACAGCUUCCUCCGCCCCCUUGAGUCAGGUAACACUGACGUAAUUCUGAUAAAGGAUACAACGUUCCGCCUGAGGGGUGUGGAUACGGGGGAGGGGGACGAGACAACGAACUUUCACUCUCUUGUUGUUUGUCUUCUUUUGAACUGAGCGCGGUCGGCUCAGCCGGCGCCAUCCCGCCAACGGUCAUUGGCGGCUCCGUCUCCUCUCGGCCCCUGCAAGAAACUGCUCCCGAACCCCCAUCGGACCCGACCGGGUCCUGUGUCUCACCUCCUCCGCUGAGACCCAAAAGGGAGAGGCCUGUCCCGUACAUCCCGUGCCCCCGCAAGACACCUACUACAACACUCAGCUCUCCCUGGAGCCUUCUCUUCUCCAGGAUGAGCAGCCCAAGCUCUCUCAGCUUGUCCUCCUAGAAGAAGUGUUCCAUCCCUUGGAUCAUUUUUGUGGCCCUCCUCUGGACGCCUUCCAACAGGUCCAUGUCUCUCCUGUACUGAGGACUCCACAUCUGGACACAGUACACCAGGUUCAGAGUCACUUCACUGUCAAUUAGAGCAAAAGCAGUACUUACACUGUACAUUAAAACACCUAUCAGUGUAUCUGAGAUCUCAGCUUGUCAGGUAGACUCAGAGCAUGGAGCCCAUAUAAGUUUCAAGAGGUUACAUGAGGACUACAGAAGGCUAAUAGCAUGAUAACAGCUGCUAGCACGGGGAUGUAAGCAAUGCAAACAUCAGAUUCAUGCAGUUUGGCUAGCUUGUUGCCAAGGAUGUCAGACUCCUGAGUGAUGGAGAAAGCUUUGCCACAAUUGACACUGUCUCCAGCUUCCAAAGGUAAGUGCUCCAGUUUCAGAAAAAGUUCACAGGCAAUUUUCAUCGAACAAAGCAGCACAUCAGGGAGUUCAGGCUGCAUAUAUCUGACAAAACUCAC